UAUGUAUUAUAAUUUAUGACUUCUGAUCUUUUCAUUAUUCAUUUUUUUGGUGUUUUGGGGUCAUUAGUGGUGUGUUUUCUAGUGAAGCCGAUGAUGACAAAAUCAAAUUGGUAUAACUUUGGUCUUGUUUGGUAAAACUUUUCAAGUGCUUCCCAUUUCUAUAUAAUUCUCUCAAACCAAAUAUAAGUCAUUCUCUUAAAAUGCUCUUCUAAUUAAGGCAAAAAGUUUGUCUUCAAGUAUGUUAUCGGUGCUAUCUUUACCACUUUUUAUGGAUGGAAUGGAGUGGUGCAACUUCUAAUUGUAAAGGUGAUGAAUGAUACUGCGAGUAGCACUCUGGAAGCUGUUAUGUUACAGGGACUAUGGUUAUCACUUGCAAAAGUAGGAUUUAGAGUGAUAAUGGUUGAAGCAUAAAUGGUUUUUACUUGGUUGUUUUGGAAAUCUAUGGCAUAUUGACGGUUGCAGACUUGUUGAUUAACAAACCAAUUUGGCAUAUUAAUUGUAGUAAAAUCCAUUUUACUAGAUUGAUAACAAACGCCUCCAGGCUCCAAUUAUUUGUGAAACAAUUGAAAUUAUGGGUAGGAAAUCAUUUUAAUAUUCAAUUUAGGAGCCCAAACAAAUUAUAAAACAUUUUCUAUCUAAAAUGCACCCAUGUC
rnacentral:lncRNA from 1 species